GGAAUUUUGCGCAAUGGGCGAAAGCCUGACGCAGCCACGCCGCGUGGAGGAAGAAGGCCUCCGGGUCGUAAACUCCUGUCCCCGGGGAAGAAAAAAAUGACGGUACCCGGGGAGGAAGCGCCGGCUAACACCGUGCAAGCAGCCGCGGUAAUACGGGGGGGGCGAGCGUUGUUCGGAUUUACUGGGCGUAAGGGGCGCGUAGGCGGCCCGAGAAGUUUUGGGUGAAAGCCCCCGGCUCAACCGGGGAAGCGCCUGGAAAACCAUCGGGCUGGAGUGCUGGAGAGGCGAGCGGAAUUUCUGGUGUAGCGGUGAAAUGCGUAGAUAUCAGAAGGAACACCUGCGGCGAAGGCGGCUUGCUGGACAGACACUGACGCUGAGGCGCGAAAGCCAGGGGAGCAAAC
rnacentral:rRNA from 1 species